GAAGGUGGCCUGUGAGGGUUGCUGGAGGUAUCAGAAGUGCGAAUGCUGACAUAAGUAACGAUAAAGCGGGUGAAAAGCCCGCUCGCCGGAAGACCAAGGGUUCCUGUCCAACGUUAAUCGGGGCAGGGUGAGUCGACCCCUAAGGCGAGGCCGAAAGGCGUAGUCGAUGGGAAACGGGUUAAUAUUCCCGUACUUGGUGUUACUGCGAAGGGGGGACGGAGAAGGCUAUGUUGGCCGGGCGACGGUUGUCCCGGUUUAAGCGUGUAGGCUGGUUUUCCAGGCAAAUCCGGAAAAUCAAGGCUGAGGCGUGACGACGAGGCACUACGGUGCUGAAGCAACAAAUGCCCUGCUUCCAGGAAAAGCCUCUAAGCAUCAGGUAACACGAAAUCGUACCCCAAACCGACACAGGUGGUCAGGUAGAGAAUACCAAGGCGCUUGAGAGAACUCGGGUGAAGGAACUAGGCAAAAUGGUGCCGUAACUUCGGGAGAAGGCACGCUGACACGUAGGUGAAGUGAUUUACUCAUGGAGCUGAAGUCAGUCGAAGAUACCAGCUGGCUGCAACUGUUUAUUAAAAACACAGCACUGUGCAAACACGAAAGUGGACGUAUACGGUGUGACGCCUGCCCGGUGCCGGAAGGUUAAUUGAUGGGGUCAGCGCAAGCGAAGCUCCUGAUCGAAGCCCCGGUAAACGGCGGCCGUAACUAUAACGGUCCUAAGGUAGCGAAAUUCCUUGUCGGGUAAGUUCCGACCUGCACGAAUGGCGUAAUGAUGGCCAGGCUGUCUCCACCCGAGACUCAGUGAAAUUGAACUCGCUGUGAAGAUGCAGUGUACCCGCGGCAAGACGGAAAGACCCCGUGAACCUUUACUAUAGCUUGACACUGAACAUUGAGCCUUGAUGUGUAG
rnacentral:rRNA from 1 species